rnacentral:rRNA from 1 species
CUUGAGAGUUUGAUCCUGGCUCAGAAUCAACGCUGGCGGCGUGCCUAACACAUGCAAGUCGAGCGAGAAAAGGGUAGCAAUAUCCUGAGUACAGCGGCGCACGGGUGAGUAACACGUGGGUAAUCUGCCCUGGAGUGGGGAAUAACACCGGGAAACCGGUGCUAAUACCGCAUACGAUCACGGUGUCUGCGGACGUUGUGAUGAAAGGAGCAAUUCGCUUUAGGAGGAGCCCGCGGCUGAUUAGCUAGUUGGUGAGGUAAUGGCUCACCAAGGCGACGAUCAGUAUCCGGUCUGAGAGGACGGUCGGACACACUGGAACUGAGACACGGUCCAGACUCCUACGGGAGGCAGCAGUGGGGAAUUUUUGGCAAUGGGGGAAACCCUGACCAAGCAACGCCGCGUGGGUGAUGAAGUCCCUUGGGACGUAAAACCCUUUCGACGGG